rnacentral:rRNA from 1 species
CCUACGGGUGGCAGCAGUAGGGAAUCUUCCACAAUGGGCGAAAGCCUGAUGGAGCAACGCCGCGUGGGUGAAGAAGGUCUUCGGAUCGUAAAACCCUGUUGUUAGAGAAGAAAGUGCGUGAGAGUAACUGUUCACGUUUCGACGGUAUCUAACCAGAAAGCCACGGCUCACUACGGGCCAGCAGCCGCGGCAAUACGUAGGGGGCAAGCUGUGUCAGGAUUUAUUGGGCGGAAGGGGUAGGCAGGCGGUCUGUUAAGUUCGAUGUGAAAGCCUUCGGCUUAACCGGAGUAGUGCAUUGGAAACUGGGAGACUGGAGUGCAGAAGAGGAGAGUGGAACUCCAUGUGUAGCGGUGAAAUGCGUAGAUAUAUGGAAGAACGCCAGUGGCGAAAGCGGCUCUCUGGUCUGUAACUGACGCUGAGGUUCGAAAGCGUGGGUAGCAAACAGGAUUAGAUACCCCAGUAGUC